rnacentral:rRNA from 1 species
CGCUGGCGGCGCGUUUAAGCAUGCAAGUCGAGCGGCAAGGGCCUUCGGGCCCCUAGAGCGGCGGACGGGUGAGUAACACGUGGACAAUCUGCCCCCCGGCCCGGGAUAGCCCAGGGAAACCUGGAUUAAUACCGGAUGAGACGGGACCCGCGAUGGCGGGACCCGGGAAAGGCGCUGCGGCGCCGCCGGGGGAUGAGUCUGCGUCCCAUUAGCUAGGCGGCGGGGUAACGGCCCACCGUGGCGACGAUGGGUAGCCGGCCUGAGAGGGUGGACGGCCACAUUGGAACUGAGACACGGUCCAGACUCCUACGGGAGGCAGCAGCUAAGAAUCUUCCGCAAUGGGCGAAAGCCUGACGGAGCGACGCCCGCGUGAACGAAGAAGGCCGUGAGGUUGUAAAGUUCUUUUCGGGAGGGGGAACAACCGUGGCAGGGAAUGGCCGCGGGAUGACGUGAAUCCCGGAAUAAGCCCCGGCUAACUACGUGCCAGCCGCUGC